CUGUAUUGGCCGCAAAAGGAGGCCCUACACCAUACUAAUUAAUUAUUGUGGUCUAAAACCAGGUGUUUCACUUUCAUUGUCCAACCCCUGUAUAUAAACUUUUUAACAUUACCUGACUUUGUACCAGUUUCUUGUUCCGUCAUCUUUGCGCUAAUGCUGCUUCUUCUUCUUCUGCUGGUGGUUCGUAACAAAUUCAGAGGUGCAUAGCGCCACCUACUGUACAUCAUUAUAUAACUCCACCCACUAUAUUAUGUUUUAGUUUUGUAUUUCAUAAAAAUAAGAAGAAUGCUUUAUUUAUAAUACUGUUGAUUCCUCCGUAUCUCCCCUCUGUUCCUAAUAUUCCUUUUAGACUGAAUUAUCUUCCAUUCCGGCGCUACGUUAACUGGCGGUGAGGAGUGUGACGGCGCAACACGAAUCGACUAACUCUGUGCUCCACUAACCAGCCUGAGAUCACGUGACACCAAGUCUCUGAUGUAAAUUCGUAUUUUCAUAGAAAAGAAAUCGUAUUCACAAACUGUUAUAGCAUUCUUCUCUUUGCAUAAAAAUACUUCUUUCAACCUUGUUCCUUAAUCCAGACAAAUGGAGAACACAAGCAGUACUCCUCCCAUCCUAUUUGGUUCUUGGCAGCCUUCCUGACCAGGUUCUGUCUGGUCCUUGACCUGUUGAGAACAAAUGUCAAGUUUUUGUAAGGUCACUGUGGUUUCAUAUUUUCUCCUUAGCUAAAGGGUGCACAAGUUAGAAACAUCCAGGAGAACCUCUGAUCUUGAUAUCGGCUCCAGAGGAACCGAAGGCAGGUCUGAAGACUGGAAGUUUAACUGAAGGUGAAAAGGUCUCUAGAGGAAUCUUGAGGAACCUGACAGAACACCGAAGAACCCAGUAGAAAGGUUGGGAUCCAACAGGUAUGGUUUCUUUCACGAGAAAUCCUACAGGUGGCCCGAGAAACCCAAUAAGGCUCUUUUCCUUCCAGAGUACCUGGAGAACCUCACAGGGAUUUGAAGGAACCAACAUCCAACAAAGAUCUUCUUGAGCCUAAACAGAACCCCAAGAACUCUUCUAGACUGUGAACUGUUCUAAACUUCUGGGAAGAAAGUGAACCAACAGGACUUCACUGACAUUUCACAAUGAACCCAGUUUCAGGUGAUUUCUUACCUGCUCAGAUGAAUCCUAUCAAUCACCUGGAUGCCAGAUGUCUUGGAGGUUCAGAGGGAAACCCAGAGGCGAAGCUACAUUUAAAAUAUUUUAUUUGUUUUAAAAUAUACAUCGUUUCCAAACUGAGAAAAUAAAACCAUUGUUAGAGUUCUAACAGUCAGAGAUUUCUCCACAACAGGAAGUGAAACAGAAACCAACCUGCUGCUCCUGCUGAGGUCGGCCAGGUGAGAGGCAGCACCUGCGGGUGGAGAGCCCGGAGGCGGGGCUAAAAUCCCCUGAAUGUUGGGUUUCAAUGUUCUUGUGUCCUCAGGUGAGUCUUUAACCUCCACGGAGGCCCUCAGCUCAGUGAACGUCAGUUUGAGGUUCACUCAAACGUCAAGAUGGAAAAAUGUGAAAACAGACAAUUUAACAUGUUCAUCGGGUGCAAAAAGUUCAAACACAGAACCAGAACACUCAAGACCAAAAACACUCGAACGCAUCACACUGCUUCAGUCUGGAUCAUCAAAUAUAAAACCAGAACACUGUGAUGACUGAAACAUCUAAAUGCCUUACACUUCCUCAGUCUAGCUAACAUGCUGAGCUGAUUUCAGACUCUACCUUCUGGAGAUGCUUCGUGGAGACACCGAGAACGUCUCACAGUGAGACGGACCAAACGAGGAAAGUUUUGACCUGCAGGCUGAGACCUUCAACCAGAACUCUCAACCUCCAUCAUUAACUGCUGGAUAACAGUACAUGGCUCUGAUCAGUUGAUGUUCAAAAAAGGUUCUGGAACACUUCAGUACUUUUCAUUUUUCCUUCGGUCUAUGCAGAACGGCUUCAAAACACUAUUCAAAUGAUAUUAAGGCUAAACUGGAUCAUUCUGGUGCAGAUGGGAUCGGGUUUCUUUAGACUUUCAUCGUCAACCAUCUAAUUUAUCAAUGUUCCAUCUGAGAAAAAGUAAAAUGAAAAAGAUCUUUUCAAGGUUUGGAAAUGUGUAUUUGGGUGAAGAAGAACGUUUCUGAUGAUUGGUAAACCUCAGGGUUGUGUACUGGAUCCUCCACUGUUUUAGUUUUUAUAUUAAUGACUUUCCUGACGUUUGCUCACCUAAUAAGACCUGUCAUGUUAAUAAUACUGCUGUAAAUUUAUAAUAAAUAUACAACUGUUA